GGUACUAGCGCCCAUAGAUAUACGUCUAUGCUAGCGCCUAAUGGAAUACCCUAAAAACUAAGCCAAGCUGAGUCUAGCUGAGCUGAGUAGGUACUAGUGGAAAAGCGGCAGUCUCUGAUAUAUCAGCUCUGUAACUAGAGCUCUGCUAGCAUUAUAGAAGUGUCAGUAGACAGACGGGAAACACAGCAGAGAGAGGGGAUGAUCUGCAGCAAAAGGCCCAAACUGGAAUCAAACCUUGGCCAGCGUGACAUGUGGUGCAUGUAGUACCAGGAGGAUGUUGGUCCUGUCAGUCCUAUCUUCUGACCUGCUAGUGGUUCAGAUGGACUUAAUCAACUACUUUGCUGUCCUACCAAUCUACCUGCCUGAUCAGAAACCAGUCUUGUCAAGGAUAAAUAGAGAGAGGAUCCUGCAAUUCCACAGCAAACACCUGAUGACUAACCGGGGUACUCAAGCAGAACUGGUGACACUACAGUUACAUACUUUUCCCAAAGAAUGUCUAAAUGCAAAAACUAUUUAUAUUUCAACAAUGUCUUUGUUUGUAAUGGGCUUUAUAUGUUAUUUUCUCUGUAAUUAACAACGGGCAGUUGGUUGUAAAAUCUUAGCCACUGGUGUUCUAUUUUUUUUCUGGGUGAAGUUCUGGCAACAACAGCUGCCACUGUUCGAAUGUAAUGUUGAUUUUUACAAUUAAAUACUGUUAUGUAUCACACAGUUGUAUUCUGUUUUUCAUCGACUGUAAUUAGGUUUAAGGUAUAUCAUUUGUAUUUGGAAUUGUUUAUCAUAAAUGGUUUUAAAUUGUCACCGUAUUUUAUACAGUAAAAUAUAGGCAACCAUAGCGGCCAGUAUUUUACCAUGAACCCAGCUUACGGUAUUUUGCAUUGAACCCGGUUUACAGUAUUUUGCCGUGGACCCGGUUUACGGUAUUUUACCGUGGACCCGUUUAUGGCAUUGUACUGUGGACCUGGUUACGGUAUUGUACUCUGAUCCCUUUCACGGCUUUGUACCCUGGACCCGUUUACGGUAUUUUUCCUUGCACCCAUUUACAACAAUGUACCCUGAACCUUUUUAUGGUGUUUUACCGUGAACCCAUUUACGGUAAAAUACUGGCAGCUGUGGUUGCCGGUACUUUUCCGUGAACCUGUUUACGGUAAAAUACUGGCAGCUGUGGUUGCCGGUACUUUACCGUGAAUCUGUUUACAGUAUUUACCGUAGAGCAGUUUACAGUUAAGUACUGGCAACCACAGCUGCCAGUAUUUUACCGUAAAUUCAACGGAUUUUUUUUUACAGUGUACAAUUUCUCCUGUGAACAGAACAGAACAGAACGUAAAAUAUCACAAGUUCAAAGUUAUUCUUGAGAGAAAACCUACAAGAAAAAAACUACAGUCACUCCUUUUCUACAGAAAACAGUGUUCGCCUC